rnacentral:lncRNA from 1 species
GCAAUGAGGACCAUUUACGAGGUCCUUUUCCUAUGGGGAUACCGAGAAGCCAUCCUGGAAAUGUAUCCCCAGAUGCUCAUCCCUCCCUUAGGCAAGUGCAGUAUGUGAUGGAUCUGCGCUUGCCAGGAACCCAUAUGCCAGCAAGACGUCCAGCCCCGAGGAGGGUUCCAACUGCCUCAGCCCCCUAAGCAUGUCAGUGAAGGCUGUGAAGACUCUUCUCCACGCCUGGAUACUGGAAGGAAUUUGCCGGCAUCCAAUUUCAGCAUGGUUGGGACAUAAUGUCCUCCCGAAAUUACUACUCACAGGGGGUUGGCUUGUUUGCAAGAGCCAUGAUCGAGUUUGAGAACCCUCAUCUCCCUCCAGUUUUCAGAGGCUGUCACCAUUGUCCAGAGUGAGAAGGAGGAGGAGCAGAGAAAUAUCACCAUGACAUUCUGUUCUGAGGUGCAAUCGUUACAGGCCCAGCUACCAGCGAUCGUGGACAUGUUGUGUGACAGGGAUGGAGGGAGUGUCAUGGGGGCUAUGCAUAAAGCUAAAGACAUCAUCUACCUGCUGGAUGGGGAAGGGCUUGGCUCCAUCUCCCAGGACAUUGCAGUCAGCCUUUGCCCCUUCAUUGAUGACAUAAGGCUUGGAACUGUAGGAUAAGCCUAUUC